GACGAACGCUGGCGGCGUGCUUAACACAUGCAAGUCGAACGGAAAGGCCCUGCUUUUGUGGGGUGCUCGAGUGGCGAACGGGUGAGUAACACGUGAGUAACCUGCCCUUGACUUUGGGAUAACUUCAGGAAACUGGGGCUAAUACCGGAUAGGAGCUCCUGCUGCAUGGUGGGGGUUGGAAAGUUUCGGCGGUUGGGGAUGGACUCGCGGCUUAUCAGCUUGUUGGUGGGGUAGUGGCUUACCAAGGCUUUGACGGGUAGCCGGCCUGAGAGGGUGACCGGCCACAUUGGGACUGAGAUACGGCCCAGACUCCUACGGGAGGCAGCAGUGGGGAAUAUUGCACAAUGGGCGGAAGCCUGAUGCAGCAACGCCGCGUGCGGGAUGACGGCCUUCGGGUUGUAAACCGCUUUCGCCUGUGACGAAGCGUGAGUGACGGUAAUGGGUAAAGAAGCACCGGCUAACUACGUGCCAGCAGCCGCGGUGAUACGUAGGGUGCGAGCGUUGUCCGGAUUUAUUGGGCGUAAAGGGCUCGUAGGUGGUUGAUCGCGUCGGAAGUGUAAUCUUGGGGCUUAACCCUGAGCGUGCUUUCGAUACGGGUUGACUUGAGGAAGGUAGGGGAGAAUGGAAUUCCUGGUGGAGCGGUGGAAUGCGCAGAUAUCAGGAGGAACACCAGUGGCGAAGGCGGUUCUCUGGGCCUUUCCUGACGCUGAGGAGCGAAAGCGUGGGGAGCGAACAGGCUUAGAUACCCUGGUAGUCCACGCUGUAAACGGUGGGUACUAGGUGUGGGGUCCAUUCCACGGGUUCCGUGCCGUAGCUAACGCUUUAAGUACCCCGCCUGGGGAGUACGGCCGCAAGGCUAAAACUCAAAGGAAUUGACGGGGCCCCGCACAAGCGGCGGAGCAUGCGGAUUAAUUCGAUGCAACGCGUAGAACCUUACCUGGGUUUGACAUGGAUCGGGAGCGCUCAGAGAUGGGUGUGCCUCUUUUGGGGUCGGUUCACAGGUGGUGCAUGGCUGUCGUCAGCUCGUGUCGUGAGAUGUUGGGUUAAGUCCCGCAACGAGCGCAACCCUUGUUCACUGUUGCCAGCACGUUAUGGUGGGGACUCAGUGGAGACCGCCGGGGUCAACUCGGAGGAAGGUGGGGAUGACGUCAAGUCAUCAUGCCCCUUAUGUCCAGGGCUUCACGCAUGCUACAAUGGCUGGUACAGAGAGUGGCGAGCCUGUGAGGGUGAGCGAAUCUCGGAAAGCCGGUCUCAGUUCGGAUUGGGGUCUGCAACUCGACCUCAUGAAGUCGGAGUCGCUAGUAAUCGCAGAUCAGCAACGCUGCGGUGAAUACGUUCCCGGGGCUUGUACACACCGCCCGUCAAGUCAUGAAAGUUGGUAACACCCGAAGCCGGUGGCCUAACCGUUGUGGGGGAGCCGUCGAAGGUGGGACUGGUGAUUAGGACUAAGUCGUAACAAGGUAGCCGUACCGGAAGGUGCGGCUGGAUCACCUCCUUUCUAAGGAGUUUUUGUGAGUGGAAUGUUGGCGUCCUGCCUGUGAUGGGUGGGGUUGAGGGCAUGCUGUUGGGUUGUGGGGUAUCACAUGUGUGGUGGCCUGUGCGGUGCUGUGUUGCGUGCGUGUGUGCGUGGUGUGGUGUUCGUGUGGUGGUUGAGAACUGUAUAGUGGAUGCGAGUAUCUUUAUUGUUGUAUGUGUUUGUGCGACGUGGUGUUGUGCAAAGUUGUGUAGUGCGAUCGGUGGAUGCCUUGGCACCAAGAGCCGAUGAAGGACGUUGUGACCUGCGAUAAGCCCUGGGGAGUUGGUGAGCGAGCUGUGAUCCGGGGGUGUCCGAAUGGGGAAACCUGGAAUGUCCGGAGUAGUGUCCGGUGGCCCUGCCCUGAAUGUAUAGGGGUGUGGGUGGUAACGCGGGGAAGUGAAACAUCUUAGUACCCGUAGGAAGAGAAAACAAGUGUGAUUCCGUGAGUAGUGGCGAGCGAAAGCGGAGGAGGCUAAACCGUGUGUGUGUUCAAGCCGGCAGGUGUUGCAUGUGCGGGGUUGUGGGGGCCUUGUGGUUCUGCUGCCGCAGGAUUGGCCAGUGAGAAAUGUUGCGUGAAGGUGAAGCGUCUGGGAAGGCGUACCGGAGUGGGUGAGAGUCCUGUAACUGUAAGCGUGGCACUGGUGUGGGGUUGCCCCGAGUAGCGUGGGACUCGUGGAAUUUCGCGUGAAUCUGGCGGGACCACCCGUCAAGCCUAAAUACUCCUUGGUGACCGAUAGUGGAUG
rnacentral:rRNA from 1 species